GAUGAGCCGGUGUGGGAUAGAAGUCGCACCCAAACACGUAACAACCAAAAAGAAUCCAGGCCUUAGCUUUAGCUUACGGCCAAAGGAAAUGGAACAAUAUAGUAAAUUUAUAAAGGGAAACAGUAUUUAGGUUUUGUAUAAACCCGCUGCCCCAAGAAACCAUAAUAUUCUCCGGACUCUGUCUCUUUACACAAAGAACAAAUCUCUCUCACUGAUUCGUAAUAAGACGAAAAAUUCAUUAUCCGAGUUCAAACGACUCAGGGAUUCGACUCGUCCAUGGCUGUCCGUUUCAAAUUCAGGAGUUCACCGGACUUUGACUCCGUCGAUAUUGAAGGUCGACCUUCCAUUUCGAUUCGUGAUCUGAAAUCCAAGAUCGUUCGUCACAAGAACCUCGAUAUCUGCCAAGACUUCGAUCUCGUUUUCUCUGAUGCCCUCACCGGUCAAGAGUACUCUGAUGAGAAAUUUCAAAUUCCGAGUGGUUCGAGUGUGAUAAUCAAAAGAGUGCCUGCCGGAUCAGCUCCUUCUAAUAUGGUGAACUUUAACACGAUUGAGAACGUCCAGAACAAGCCCUCAAAGUUGGUUAAUUCUACUCUUCCAAUGAAUGUUGAAGUGGAUGACUUUGAUGACUUUGGGAUCGACUUGUAUCCUGUUCCUGAGGCGACCUUUUCUGGAGAGGACCUUGAUGCUGACAAGAAUGUAUGCACUGGAAGUGAUCAGAGAAAUGAUGCUCUUACAAGAUGCUUGAAGCCAUCUACGGAAGGAUGUCAAAGACAUGAAGAAAGUGACCUCAGUGAAGCUAUUCCUAGGGAUCUUGCACAUUGUGGAGCUGAAGGGAAUAUGCCCCAGAAAAAGUCAAUACUUAAAGUUGAAGAAGAUAAAAAUUUAGAAAGGGUGAUUGAUGCCAAUCCUCCGGCCAUGCAAAACGCCUACUUGCCAUCAGAGCUGAAGUGCUCUCUCUGUGAUUCAUUUUUCAAGGAGGCUGUGAUGAUACCUUGCUGCCAGCAUAGUUUUUGUCAGAAAUGCAUUCGUCUAGUGCUGCUUGAGAAACGAAGGUGUCCUAAGUGUCUUUCUACCAGAUGCCGAGUAGAAGAUCUACUACCAAAUGUAUCUCUUAGGCAAGCAAUUGAACAUUUCCUUGAGUCUCAAAUUUUAAACCCCGGUUCAGGCACUGCCUUUUGUCAAUAUGCUCCAGACGGUGAAUCUGGAAUUCAAGCAAAAGAUGUCUCUUGUGGUGUGACUAUCCUUCAAAGAGAGCCAGAGCUCUACUCUCCCACUGCAACAGGGAGGGGAUCCAAUCAAAUUAUGUUAGAAUCUGCUUAUGACUUACAGAUAAAAAAUAAUACAUCCAUGGGUGGCAUUGGUCUCAAUCAUUCGGGUGUGAAGAAUCCUUUGAAAGCAUCACCCAUGUCACACAAGAUAAACAAAAUGAAUGGAGAACGACAUGGCUCUUAUUAUCCUGUGGACAUCAAAAGUAGACCUGAGGACUUGGCUGCUUUUGAUGAUUUUCAAGGGGAAAGUCUGGCCAUGCACGAGGAAGCUGAAUCCAGUCUGAAGAAAAAGAAGGGAUUUUGGGUUAAUAAUGCUGCAGGUGGAGACAAGCCUUUUAUGGAGUCUGGAAGAUACAGAAAGGGGGACCGUACCUGUUUCAUGUGUGGUUCGCCAGACCAUUUCAUACGAGACUGUCCAGAUGCUUCAAGUCCACAUCCUUUGCUUCAGAGAGGAAGUGCUAUGUUUCCAGGAGUCAUUCAGGGUUAUGUACCACCAUAUUGGAAUGGAACUUCCUUCCCCCAUAUCAGGCCCUUUGGGAACAUAUAUGGCAAUGCUGGGAUGAUGCCCUUCAAUGCAGCCAUGGUCCCAGCUGCCCCUUAUGCCGUACCUAAUUAUAUGCCAUCUGUGUAUGGUGGCUUUCCUUCAUACAGUGGAUAUAUGCCAAUGGGAGGUGUGGCACCUCCACGGGGGCCAAUUGAAGAACUACAUCAAACUAAUCAAGACUUUGUGGAUUUUCAAAAUUUUGAAAAGAGACGGAAGAUCUCAAAUGAGAAUAUGAGGAGAGAACUAUCUCGUGAUGAUUAUGAAAAUGAUGAUUUUAGUAAGAGGGGUCCCUAUAAUGAGACAGAAAGAUCACAUGACCGUAAAUCUUCUUUAAACAGGGAAAGGAGUGUCAGUUACUCUGAGGACAGCUUCACUCAGAGGUCACAGAAGAAACAUCAGCGUGAUAAUUAUGUACAUGAUAACAACUUGGUUGAUGAAAGAUGUGAGAAGGGAUCUCAUCCCUCAAUUGCUGUUAGGGAUCUGAGGUCACAUCAUCACACAGAGAGAUCAAGUUCAGAAGUAGAAGAUAUGCCCAGUAGCCCAAAGUGGCAUAGUAAAAAGAGGCAUGUACACCACCAUACAAGCUCCGAGAAGCACAGUGAAAGAAGGGAUAAAUGCGGAAGUGAUUCUAGUCGGAGUCACCAUCAAACUUACAAAGAAAAAGAGGUUGAAAGGAAGAGAAAUAGAUCUGACAUCAAACGGCAAAAUCACAAACGUCACAGCCAUGCAGAAUCUGGUUUGGACCAAAGUCUUUCUAGUGAUCGCAGAAAGCAACGGAAGGAGACCAGUCACACCUCCAGACGCUCGCACAAGAGUACUGAUGAUCUCAGUCAUGACAGGUGGCAGAUGGUUAGUGGAUCCAAUGAGGAUGGAGGAGAAGACUACCAUUCUUAUAAACGGAAAAGAGGUCAUUAAAAAGAUGCAGCAGGCCUGACUGAGGUAAACGUGUAUAUGGUGUCGCAUAUCUCAACUUAGCUUGAGGUGUGGACGCUAGCAAACUAAAGUUUUAAUCAGAGCAGCAUCGGUAAAAUUUAAUAUAGGGUUUGGAUGCUUUAUGACGUGCCCAAACUUCUUUCUGCAGAGAUUGUUGCAGCUGGUAAAGCUAUUUCCAAUGACUUCAGGAAUGGGCUGAUGGGACAAGGAUCAACAUCAGUAAUCUACCCUACACAUGGAGGGUAAAGAGGAAAGAAGGAAGAUAGUAUAAAACAGAAAAAAGACCCUGACGAAGGGAGAUCAAGAAAUUGAGAGGAAAACAUUGUAGCCAUCGAGAAUUGAACUUGUAAUCAAACUUGAGAAGAAAUAUAUAAGAAUUAAUCUCCUCGGAUUAUGCUGAGGACAAUUUUUUUUAGAUUAAACAAGUCUAUCUUCAUUUUCUUGUCAUCUGGAUCCACUUUACUUGUUAUUUGACUCAUUAAAGCCAGUUUUUCAACCCACUCUCUACAAAUUCAUUGGGUUUUUUGGGCCUAAGUUCAUCCAUCCUUUGGAUUUGGGAACCAAAUUGUGUCCUUACAAUUAACGUUGUCUGUGAAAAAUUCUUAUUUUUUAGUGAGUUUGACGUUCAACUAUGGUAGGUUUAGGUCCGAGUUUGAAGGAAUCUAUGGGAUUCCAACGUUAAGAUCAUUUUGUUAAUCUUGAGCGAAGAAGGGACCAGGAAGUUAAUGUACAUACCACACAUACUAGCAGGAGCAAGUCUCGAAGCGGAAGCCACCUCUCUCAUGAGGGGAAUACUAAGGCCAUGCAACUGGAGAUUGAUCACUUAAAGAGGAAGUCAAUCUCCAGUUGCACCACGAAAGGCGAAGACAAACUCCCUCCAAUUCUGACUUCUCUUCUGAUGAUGAAGAGGAUGAUAGUUAUAAACCCAAAUCAAGGACUUCUCCUAGUGAGUCUUUCUCGUAUGAUAAGAACUACCACCAUAAGCGCAGAAUUGGGGGAGGGAGACUUCCUCGGCGGUUCACUCAGUCAACGUUCACCAUGUACAAUGGUUGAACAGACCCUGUGGAGCACGUAAGCCACUUUAACCAGAGAAUGGCAGUGCACUCCAAGAAUGAGGCCUUGAUGUGUAAGGUAUUCCCAUCCAGCUUGGGGCCUAUGGCGAUGAGGUGGUUUGAUGGCUUAGGUGUAGGUUCCAUUGAUUCCUUUAAGGAGCUGACCCAGACGCUUAGAUCUUGUUUUAUUACAUGCAAUAGGGUUUCUCGGCUCUUAGAUUCCUUGUUGUCCAUGUCCAUGCGAGAAGGGAAGACCUUGAAAACGUACUCGGACAGAUACUGAGAGAUGUUCAAUGAGAUCAAUGGGAACUUUGAUGACAUGGCUAUAAAGACUUUUAAGGUCGGCCUGCCCGUCGAGCAUGAUUUGAGAAAGUCUUUGACCAAGAAGCCAAUAAGGAGUAUGCGUUAGCUUAUGAACCGUAUUAACAAGUAUAAGUGGGUUAAGGAAUACCAGUAGCAAAGGAAGGGAAAGGCUAAGGUUAUCCCUCAGGACAUGAGGGAUUUUAGGUCGGACAGAUACAAUAAUAACAAGCCCCGAAGGGAUUUUGCUGGGCAAUUUGGGUCUACAGUUCCUCAGGUGGUUAAUACGGUGUUUCAAGAGCCAGUACAUCAAGUCUUGGGAAAGAUCAAGAAUGAGUCAUACUUCAAAUAGCCAAACAAGAUGGGAGGAGACCUCAUGAGGUACAACCAAAGUCUUCAUUACCAUUACCAUCAAGAACGAGGGCAUACCACCGAGGACUGUAAAACUCUAUGGAAUCAUCUGGAGCAAUUGGUCAGAGAUGGAAUGUUACAACAGUUUUUGUAUCGGCCCAAUGGGCAAGGAGACCAAGCAAGGUCAGGGGCUCAAGGGAAUGCUUCUUCAAGGCCCCCUUUAGGCACAAUUAAUGUCAUCUUUGCUACUCCUAGGAGGACAAGUUCUCAUCCCUCUAGGAUGAUGUCUGUAGCUCGGCCAAUCGUUGAGGACUCUAAUUCUGAGCCGAAGAGGGCUAGGGUGGAGAUCUGACCGGUGUUGAGUUUUUUGAAUGAGGAUAAGAUUGGAACUAUACAGCCGCACGAUGAUACUUUGCCGCACGAUGAUACUUUAGUGGUCAACCUCAGGAUAGGAGCGUAUGAUGUGAAGAGGGUGUUGGUAGAUCAAGGUAGCGGUGUAGAGAUCAUUUAUCCUAACUUAAACAAUGGGUUGAACUUAAAGCCUAAAGAUUUAACGGCCUAUGAUUCAUCUUUGGUAAGCUUCGAUAGGAAAGUUGUCAUUCCAAAAAGUCAGAUUAGACUGCCCGUGCAGGCAGGUUUAGAGGUAGUGAGGGUGGACUUCAUUGUAGUGGAUGCUUAUUCCCCCUACACCGCCAUUGUGGCAAGGCCCUGGCUCCAUGCCUUGAGAGCCGUUUCGUCCACCUUGCAUUUGAAAGUUAAGUAUUUUUCCGGGGAUCAGAUUGAGGAACUAAUUGGGAGCUAGUUUAUGGCUAGGUAGUGCUUGGUAUUUGCAAUUACGCAUCAGCCUGUAGUUGAGUCCUCGGUCUCCGCUGAGGGAGGCUCAUAACAGUCAAGGAUCUCAGUCUUGUCUACGGAUGUGGUGUUAGAAGGGGCAAAGUGUGAGAGAUUGGAGGAAAUUGUUAUAGAUGGUGAUCCGGAGAAGUUUUUUCAGGUCAGAGCUUAGUUACCUCCUCGAGAGAAGGAAGAACUGUUAGCAUUUCUAAGGAGGAAUGUUGAUGUGUUCGCAUGGAAUGCUUAUUAAGCUCUUGGGGUAGAUCUAGACUUCAUUUGUCAUCAUCUAAAUGUCAACCUAGCUGUCCCCCUAGGAAGCAACCACCUUAGCGCUCAUCUAAAGAGCAUUCUGAUACUGUUCAGGAAGAGAUGAACAAGCUUAAGCAAGCUAGGGCUAUCAAGGAAGUGUUCUACCCUGAGUGGUUGGCUAAUACGGUAGUAGUGAAAAAGAAGAAUAGGAAGUGGGUAUGUGUAGACUUCACAGAUCUGAAUAAAGCUUGUCCCAAGGAUCCUUUCCCCAUAUCUCGAAUAGACUAGUUGGUGGAUGCCAUUGUAGGCCAUCUUUGGAUGAGCUUUCUGGACGCCUUUCAAAGGUACCACCAGACACCUUUGGUUUUGGAUAAUUAAGAGAAAACAACUUUUGUUACUCCUAUUGGGAAUUACCACUACAAAGUGAUGUCCUUUGAUCUAAAGAAUGCAGGGUCUACUUAUCAGAGGAUGAUGACCAGGAUGUUUGAGUCAUAGCUAGGAAAAAACAUUGAAAUUUAUAUAGACAACAUGGUGGUUAAGAGUAAGUUGGAAUCCAGGCAUAUUAACGAUCUCAGGAAUAACUUUGAGAUCUUGAGGAGACACAAACUGCAACUUAAUGCUUCUAAGUGCUCUUUUGGUGUUGGAUCAGGGAAGUUCUUGGGGUACAUGGUUACUCAUCAUGGAAUUGAAGUCAACCCUGAUCAAAUUAAAGCAAUUAACAAUUUACAGCCACCUCGGAAUCCCAAAGAGGUCCAGAAGUUGACAGAGAUGAUUGCUGCUCUAAACCGAUUCAUUUCUCAGUUAGCAGAUAGAUGUAGGCCUUUCUUCUAGUUGUUGAACAAGUGGAAGGGAUUUGAAUGGACCAAGGAGUGUGUCUUGGCCUUCCAGCAGUUGAAGGAAUACCUUUCUCGGCCACCCAUUAUGUUAAGGCCCGAGGUGGAUGAGGUUUGUUUACUUACAUUGCUGUGGUUUCCCAUGCAGUGAGCCUAGUGCUUGUACAGGUUGAUAGUGGUGUACAAAGGUCAGUUUAUUAUGUGAGCAAGUUACUGCAUGAGGCCGAGAUCCGUUACCUACCACUAGAGAAGGCCAUUUUGGCAAUGGUGCAUACUACACGUAAGCUUCCCCACUAUUUCAAAUCUCAUACAAUUGUUGUUUUAACUCAACUUUCGCUUAAAUCACUUCUUCGGAGUGCUGAUUACACUAGAAGAAUUGCCAAGUGGAGAAUAAUCCUAGGGGCUUUUGAUAUAAAGUACAUGCCUCGCACCUCUGUCAAGGGUCAAGUUCUCGCAGAUUUGGUGGCCGAGUUCACUGAAUCUCCAUUGGAAGAAGAAGUUGAAAAGAAGAAUAUGGAUGGAAAAUCGGUUGGUGUAGUCUCCCUACAAGAGCCUUUACCCUGGAGAGUACACGUUGAUGGGGCAACGAAUCAAAGAGGGUCUGGAGUGGGGCUAGUUAUUAUAUAUCCUAAGAAGAUCAUUAUUGAGAAAUCCUUAAGGUUGGGCUUCUCGGUCACCAAUAAUGAGGCCGAGUAUGAGGCUCUAUUGGUAGGGAUGACUAUAGUUCAAAGAAUGGGAUGAAAGGAAGUGGAAAUGUUUUCAAAUUCGAGAUUGGUUAUAGGCCAGGUAGGGGGAGAGUUGGAAACUAGAGAUCUCAAAAUGCAGGAAUAUUUGAACCAGGUUAGACAUUUAUAGUUAGGAUUUGAGUCUUUUAAUUUAUCGCAAAUCCCUAGAAGUAGAAAUACACAUGCUAGCUCUCUUGCCACGCUCGUAGCCUUCUCGGCACAAAGUUUACCUCGGGUGAUCCUUGUGGAAGACUUGUGUAAACCUACUGAAAUAGGGAGAAACGUGGUUCAUAUUCAUCAAAUUAGGGUGGGUCCUAACUGGAUGGAUUCUAUUGUGCUAUUCCUUAAGGAAGAUAUCUUGCCCGAGUGUAAAUUCGAGGUCAACAAGCUAUGGAGAAAGGCUCCUUGGCUUUGGCUAUCUGAGGAUCAAAAGUUGUACAAGUGCUCUUUUUCUGGACCAUAUUUGCUGUGCAUACACCCUAAAACAGUUGAACUACUUCUAAAAGAGUUACAUGAAGAGGUUUGUGGAAGCCACAUUAGAGGCAGAUCCUUAUCUCACAGGGCCCUCACCCAGGGAUAUUAGUGGCCAAAUGUGCAAAAGGAAGCACACGAGUAUGUGAAGAAAUGUGAUCAAUGCUAAAGAUUUGUUCCAAACAUUCAUCAACUAGGAGGAGUCCCUUAAUCCUCUGUCUAGCCCUUGGUCAUUUGCUCAAUGGGGCUUGGAUAUUGUUAGACCCUUCCCUAAGGCAGCAGGGAAUAAGAGAUGGUUGCUGGUCAGUAUAGAUUACUUCACCAAAUGGGUUGAAGUUGAACCAUUAGCAAAUAUCAGGGAUAUGGAUGCCAAGAGAUUUAUCUGGAAAAAUAUUGUCACUCGGUUUGGAAUCCCUCGUACACUCAUCUUAGACAAUGGUUUUCAGUUUGAUAAUAAAGCCUUCAGGAGGUAUUGCUGUGACCUGCGCAUAACAAAUAAAUAUUCCACCCCGGCAUAUCUAUAGGGGAAUGAAUAGGUCGAGGCUAUCAAUAAGGUCAUAGUGAGUG